AGUGAACGCUGGCGGUAGGCCUAACACAUGCAAGUCGAACGGCAGCACAGUAAGAGCUUGCUCUUACGGGUGGCGAGUGGCGGACGGGUGAGGAAUACAUCGGAAUCUACUUUUUCGUGGGGGAUAACGUAGGGAAACUUACGCUAAUACCGCAUACGACCUACGGGUGAAAGCAGGGGAUCUUCGGACCUUGCGCGAUUGAAUGAGCCGAUGUCGGAUUAGCUAGUUGGCGGGGUAAAGGCCCACCAAGGCGACGAUCCGUAGCUGGUCUGAGAGGAUGAUCAGCCACACUGGAACUGAGAAACGGCCCAGACUCCUACGGGGGGCAGCAGGGGGGAAUUUUGGAAAAGGGGCGAAAGCCUGAUCCAGCCAACCCGGGGGGGUGAAGAAGGCCUUCGGGUUGUAAAGCCUUUUUGUUGGGAAAAAAAAGCAGCAGGUUAAUCCCCCGCUGUUCUGCCGGUACCAAAAAAAUAAGCCCCGGCUACCUUCGU
rnacentral:rRNA from 1 species